AAAUCGAGAGAGUGAGAGUAGAGCCAAAAGAUCACAUGACGAGUGCCAGCAGACAUGGUACCAUGAAGGCUCCGCCUCCCUGAAGGACGCUCGGCUCUGGUUGGCCAAAUACUCUCUGCCACGGUGCUGGUCAGACUCUGUAUCUCCAAAGAAAUGUUUAUUUUGAGAACAAAACACGAAUGUCUAAUGAUUUUAUAUUUUAUGUCACCUCCUGUGAGCUUGUUUUAAUAAAAACUCAGCUUUGUCUUUGAACAAUUAGUAAUUUUCACAAAACACUUCUCUCUGCACAGAAGGUGUCCCUGAUGAGGACAGUAUUAUAAUAAAGUCCUCUGGUGCAGCGAAGACAAAUGUUGGUUAUUGUUGUAUAAAUCACAAUAUUACACUCGAGGGUGACACUAACUGAACUGACCACAUCGCUGUCAUGCCAACAAUAACGUUAAAGGUCACCCUGUAUGUAAUAUUGUUCAAUUAUAACUCAGCAGUGGUCUUACCUUGUUCAUACCUGAGUGGGCGGGUCUGUGACACCAGGUGACUUCUCCUCAGAUAUAAAUUAUACAAACACUGCUAAUCGCUUCAGAACUGAUUCUGAUUCUGGUUUCUAAAUUUAGUUUGUGGUGCAGAAACAUAAACAACAUCAAACGGGCUGACAUGUUCACAGCCUGGUAAUUUCUCCGUUCAUGACAACUGUACUGCGGUUACUCAGCCCGCCUCAGGUCAGCUGAGAGAGCAUGACUGACGUCUGUGGAGUCAAAUCAGAGCCAAAAGUUUCAAACUGAAAUUUAAGUUUUGGUCCUGAAGAAUAAAUUCAUAAAAAUAAAAAUAAUGUGGCCGGAGAGCUUCACAGUUUAAAUAAUGAAUAUAAUAAACUCUGUAAUAGCAUCGUUUCAUCCUUUGUUUACUAAAAACAGCUGGUUUCAUUUAUUUAUUUUUCAGUAGUUUAAUAA